rnacentral:tRNA from 1 species
GAGGGUAUAGCUCAAGCGGUAGAGUGCCUGCUUAGCAUGUAGGAGGUCCUGGGUUCAAUCCUCAGUGCCACCU